rnacentral:misc_RNA from 1 species
UACACUUAUCUUCCAAUCUAACACUUUACAGGACAAAAAAAUGCUAUUCUCCUGUUCCACUUUUUUUGUAUUGUGCAUGUAAAUUCGAUCCUCAUUCGCGAAACUUCGGUGUUUGGUUUAUGUGGGUGGGAUGAAGAUCGAGGAAUUGGAGGACCUAGAUUGCGAUCUAGGUCUAAACGAUAGCGUUGAUUCGAAGCAGGUGGUGAGCGUGGACGCGAAGAGGGCGUUGGUGGGAGCCGGUGCGCGGAUCCUGUUUUACCCUACCCUUCUGUAUAAUGUGUUUAGGAACAAAAUCCAAUCUGAGUUCCGAUGGUGGGACGAAGUUGACCAGUAUCUUUUGCUGGGUGCGGUUCCAUUUCCUAAGGAUGUUCCGAGGUUGAAGCAGCUUGGUGUUGGUGGCGUCAUUACUCUCAAUGAGCCUUAUGAAACUUUGGUUCCAUCAUCCAUGUAUCAUGCCCAUGGCAUUGAACACCUUGUAAUUCCCACAAGAGAUUAUCUUUUUGCUCCUUCUUUUGUGGAUAUCAGUCGAGCUGUGGACUUCAUUCACGAGAACGCAUCCUGUGGUAGAACUACAUAUGUUCAUUGUAAAGCCGGGAGAGGGAGGAGUACAACUAUCGUGCUUUGUUAUUUGGUAGAGUAUAAGCACAUGACUCCUACUACUGCUCUAGAAUAUGUGCGGUCUAGAAGACCUCGAGUGUUGCUUGCUCCAUCACAGUGGAAGGCUGUUCAAGAAUACAGUAGGCGCCGACCACCUCCUCUUGCACAGUCUCCCUCAGGGGAUGCAGUGCUGAUAACCAAAGCAGAUCUAGAAGGAUAUAAUAGCGCUUGUGAUGAUGAAGCUGUUGGUAAGGAACUGGCACUUGUCCCUAAAAUCAAGGUCAGGCCCAUGAUGGCUAGGCUGUCCUGUCUCUUUACUUCCUUGAAAGUUUCUGGUGUAUGUGGACCUGUAGCGAGUCGGAUGCCUGAGGCACGUGCUUGCUGAGGCCCUGAAUCCUCCAUGAAAUGUUGUGAGGUUGUCUUGUUGUAAAGAAAAGCUUCAUGAAAUAAGAUCGGAAUCUUCACAUUAACCCUCUUGUUUAUGAGAGAAAACUGAACAGAAAAGAUAAGUGGUAAAGUUCUUCAUGCUGCAUAUGUCAGUGGUAGUAAUCGAUGAAUAAUUUGCAUAUGUUGUACAUGACAUUAUUAUUAUUAUUAUUUUAUUUACUUUUGGUAGUCAUUUCUGAAUGAUAACCUGAUUCUCUGUAAGAAUUGAGCACUUUACUGCAAGUUGAAAGAUUGUAGCCCUUUUGUGUUCAGUUU